ACGUUGGUCGCACGAUCAAA
rnacentral:miRNA from 1 species